GAUGAACGCUGGCGGCGUGCCUAAUACAUGCAAGUCGAGCGAACAGACGAGGAGCUUGCUCCUCUGACGUUAGCGGCGGACGGGUGAGUAACACGUGGAUAACCUACCUAUAAGACUGGGAUAACUUCGGGAAACCGGAGCUAAUACCGGAUAAUAUAUUGAACCGCAUGGUUCAAUAGUGAAAGACGGUUUUGCUGUCACUUAUAGAUGGAUCCGCGCCGCAUUAGCUAGUUGGUAAGGUAACGGCUUACCAAGGCAACGAUGCGUAGCCGACCUGAGAGGGUGAUCGGCCACACUGGAACUGAGACACGGUCCAGACUCCUACGGGAGGCAGCAGCAGGGAAUCUUCCGCAAUGGGCGAAAGCCUGACGGAGCAACGCCGCGUGAGUGAUGAAGGUCUUCGGAUCGUAAAACUCUGUUAUUAGGGAAGAACAAAUGUGUAAGUAACUAUGCACGUCUUGACGGUACCUAAUCAGAAAGCCACGGCUAACUACGUG
rnacentral:rRNA from 1 species